UACGUAGGGGGCAAGCGUUAUCCGGAUUCACUGGGUGUAAAGGGAGCGUAGACGGAAUAACAUGCCAGAUGUGAAAAUCCGGGGCUCAACCCCGGACCUGCAUUUGGAACUGUCGAUCUGGAGUACCGGGUUGGCAGGCGGAAUUCCUGGUGUAGCGGUGAAAUGCGUAGAUAUCAGGAGGAACACCGGUGGCGAAGGCGGCCUGCUGGACGGAUACUGACGUUGAGGCUCGAAAGCGUGGGGAGCAAAC
rnacentral:rRNA from 1 species